rnacentral:rRNA from 1 species
UACGGAGGGGGCUAGCGUUGUUCGGAAUUACUGGGCGUAAAGCGCACGUAGGCGGCUUGGUAAGUUAGAGGUGAAAGCCUGGAGCUCAACUCCAGAAUUGCCUUUAAGACUGCCGAGCUAGCAGGUGAGAGAGGUGAGUGGAAUUCCGAGUGUAGAGGUGAAAUUCGUAGAUAUUCGGAAGAACACCAGUGGCGAAGGCGGCUCACUGGCUCAUACUGGACGCUGAGGUGCGAAAGCGUGGGGAGCGAACAGG